rnacentral:rRNA from 1 species
UACGUAGGGUGCAAGCGUUAAUCGGAAUACUGGGCGUAAAGCGUGCGCAGGCGGUGAUGUAAGACAGGUGUGAAAUCCCCGGGCUUAACCUGGGAACUGCAUUUGUGACUGCAUCGCUGGAGUGCGGCAGAGGGGGAUGGAAUUCCGCGUGUAGCAGUGAAAUGCGUAGAUAUGCGGAGGAACACCGAUGGCGAAGGCAAUCCCCUGGGCCUGCACUGACGCUCAUGCACGAA